AACGAACGCUGGCGGCAGGCCUAACACAUGCAAGUCGAACGCUCCAGCAAUGGAGAGUGGCAGACGGGUGAGUAACGCGUGAGAACCUUCCCUAUGGUUCGGAAUAGCUCAGGGAAACUUGAGGUAAUACCGGAUAAGCCCUUCGGGGAAAGAUUUAUCGCCAUUGGAUGGGCCCGCGUAGGAUUAGCUAGUUGGUGAGGUAACGGCUCACCAAGGCGACGAUCCUUAGCUGGCUGAGAGGAUGAUCAGCCACACUGGGACUGAGACACGGCCCAGACUCCUACGGGAGGCAGCAGUGGGGAAUAUUGGACAAUGGGCGCAAGCCUGAUCCAGCCAUGCCGCGUGAGUGACGAAGGCCUUAGGGUUGUAAGACUCUUUUGGCGGGGAAGAUAAUGACGGUACCGCAGAAUAAGCUCCGGCUAACUUCGUGCCA
rnacentral:rRNA from 1 species